AUUGAACGCUGGCGGCAGGCUUAACACAUGCAAGUCGAGUGAGCGGCGGACGGGUGAGUAAUGUCUGGGAAACUGCCUGCUGGAGGGGGAUAACUACUGGAAACGGUAGCUAAUACCGCAUACCAUCAGAUGUGCCCAGAUGGGAUUAGCUAGGAGGUGGGGUAAUGGCUCACCUAGGCGACGAUCCCUAGCUGUUCUGAGAGGAUGACCAGACACACUGGAACUGAGACACGGUCCAGACGCCUACGGGAGGCAGGAUAGGGGAAUAUUGCACAAUGGGUGCAAGCCUGAUGCAGCCAUGCCGCGUGGGGGAAGAGGGCCUUCGGGUUGUAAAGCACUUUCAGCGAGGAGGCGUUACUCGCAGAAGAAGCACCGGCUAACUCCGUGCCAGCAGCCGCGGUAAUUC
rnacentral:rRNA from 1 species